AGUGAACGCUGGCGGUAGGCCUAACACAUGCAAGUCGAACGGCAGCACAGUAAGGGCUUGCUCUUACGGGUGGCGAGUGGCGGACAGGUGAGGGAUACAUCGGAAUCUACUUUUUCGUGGGGGAUAACGUAGGGAAACUUACGCUAAUACCGCAUACGACCUACGGGUGAAAGCAGGGGAUCUUCGGACCUUGCGCGAUUGAAUGAGCCGAUGUCGGAUUAGCUAGUUGGCGGGGUAAAGGCCCACCAAGGCGACGAUCCGUAGCUGGUCUGAGAGGAUGAUCAGCCACACUGGAACUGAGACACGGUCCAGACUCCUACGGGAGGCAGCAGUGGGGAAUAUUGGACAAUGGGCGCAAGCCUGAUCCAGCCAUACCGCGUGGGUGAAGAAGGCCUUCGGGUUGUAAAGCCCUUUUGUUGGGAAAGAAAAGCAGCAGGUUAAUACCCCGCUGUUCUGACGGUACCCAAAGAAUAAGCACCGGCUAACUUCGUG
rnacentral:rRNA from 1 species